rnacentral:rRNA from 1 species
GAUGAACGCUAGCGGCAGGCUUAACACAUGCAAGUCGAGGGGCAGCACGGGUAGCAAUACCUGGUGGCGACCGGCGCAAGGGUGCGUAACGCGUGAAGCAACAUGCCCUAUACAGGGGGAUAAUCCAGGGAAACUUGGUCUAAUAUCCCAUAGUAUUUAGAGGAGGCAUCUUCUAUAAAUUAAAGCUUCGGUGGUAUAGGAUUGGCUCGCGUGACAUUAGCUAGAUGGUGAGGUAACGGCUCACCAUGGCAAUGAUGUCUAGGGGUUCUGAGAGGAAGGCCCCCCCACACUGGGACUGAGACACGGCCCAGACUCCUACGGGAGGCAGCAGUGAGGAAUAUUGGACAAUGGGCGAAAGCCUGAUGCAGCGACGCCGCGUGAGCGAAGAAGUAUUUCGGUAUGUAAAGCUCUAUCAGCAGGGAAGAAAAUGACGGUACCUGACUAAGAAGCCCCGGCUAACUACGUG